AGUCAGCCAGCUGGGCAGCAGGGCUAACAGGGCUGGGGGGGGAGGGGGGGGGUGUGCGGGGCGAGUCACCCUGUGUGUAAAGGGGAAGGCGUGAGAGGCUGUGGAGGGGCGAGAAGCGCUGUUUUAACAUUGAGGCAGCAGAAAAGUUAUCCUGAUGCCGGGAAGUGCUUUUUCUAAGGACGAGACUUCGAAAGGCGGAGACUAUGUUGGCGGUUAUCCCCUCCAGGAUGAAAGGACUGAGGCAUGUUGGUGCAGUGAUGUGGGCAAGUGUGGGUGAGUUCGGCACAUCCCCCACCUGAGAGAACACAACUGGAAGGAUCUCUGUGGUCUUAAUGGAGGCUUGCUGGUCUGUGGAUUCUUGACUGUGGAUUCUGGCAGGGUCACCUUUGAGGUGGCCUCCUCCAUACAGCCCAUCUGUAAUCUGGAAGCUGCUCUAUCCUCACAUGCCAUCAAGAGGAGAGUGGGCAGAAGGUCAAGGUCUUGCUGGUGUAGGGACUCAGCAGAGCCUCUCUUUGGUUUUUGUAAAUUGUGCCCACAUAGUAGUUAAUCUCCACUCAGCUACCCAGCAUCAC
rnacentral:lncRNA from 1 species